rnacentral:rRNA from 1 species
GUAGGUGGCAAGCGUUGUCCGGAAUUAUUGGGCGUAAAGCGCGCGCAGGCGGUCCUUUAAGUCUGAUGUGAAAGCCCACGGGCUCAACCGUGGAGGGUCAUUGGAAACUGGGGGACUUGAGUACAGAAGAGGAAAGCGGAAUUCCAAGUGUAGCGGUGAAAUGCGUAGAGAUUUGGAGGAACACCAGUGGCGAAGGCGGCUUUCUGGUCUGUAACUGGCGCUGAGGCGCGAAAGCGUGGGGAGCAAACAGGAUUAGAUACCCUGGUAGUCCACGCCGUAAACGAUGAGUGCUAAGUGUUAGGGGGUUUCCGCCCCUUAGUGCUGCAGCUAACGCAUUAAGCACUCCGCCUGGGGAGUACGGCCGCAAAGGCUGA